AUUGAACGCUGGCGGCAUGCUUUACACAUGCAAGUCGAACGGCAGCACGGACUUCGGUCUAGUGGCGAGUGGCGAACGGGUGAGUAAUACAUCGGAACGUACCCAGUAAUGGGGGAUAACUAUCCGAAAGGAUAGCUAAUACCGCAUACGCCCUACGGGGGAAAGAGGGGGACCGCAAGACCUCUUGUUAUUGGAGCGGCCGAUGGCUGAUUAGCUAGUUGGUAGGGUAAAGGCCUACCAAGGCAACGAUCAGUAGCGGGUCUUAGAGGACGAUCCGCCACUCUGGAACUGAGACACGGUCCAGACUCCUACGGGAGGCAGCAGUGGGGAAUCUUGGACAAUGGGCGAAAGCCUGAUCCAGCCAUGCCGCGUGUCUGAAGAAGGCCUCCGGGUUGUAAAGGACUUUUGUCGGGGAGGAAAUCCCCAGCGCUAAUACCGCUGGGGGAUGACAGUACCUGAAGAAUAAGCACCAGCUAACUACGUGCCAGCCGCCGCGGUAAUAC
rnacentral:rRNA from 1 species